UCCGUAGGUGGAUUAAUAAGUCAGAGGUGAAAUCCUGCAGCUUAACUGUAGAACUGCCUUUGAUACUGUUAAUCUUGAGUCAUUAUGAAGUGGUUAGAAUGUGUAGUGUAGCGGUGAAAUGCAUAGAUAUUACACAGAAUACCGAUUGCGAAGGCAGAUCACUAAUAAUGUACUGACACUGAGGGACGAAAGCGUGGGGAGCGAACAGGAUUAGAUACCCUGGUAGUCC
rnacentral:rRNA from 1 species